CCAGGCUGGAGUGUAAUGGCGUGAUCAUAGCUCACUGCAACCUCUGCCUCCGGGGUUCAAGCAAUUCUCCUGCCUCAGCCUCCUAAGUAGCUGGGAUUACAGGGAGAGGAGCGGAAGACCUUCUGGUGUGGGCUGGGCAGCAAUUCACUUGAAGGAGAAACAGCCCGGGUGUGGAGAGGCGGCUGUCCUUGGAGGGAUCCUUUCUAAGGAGCCGAGAAAUCAACGUAGAGCUUCCUCUAUCUGAUUCUCUAACAACUGCAGACCUUCCAUGAGUCAAGCUUUGUGUCAAAAGGACAAAUUAAAAGGACCUAUAAAAGGCAUCACCAAGCCCAGUGGACAGAUGCCCCAGGCUGCACAUUCUGUCAGUGCUGUUCUGGAAAAGGCCCAAACACAUGCUGAAACAUGGAAGAACUCAUUUAUGUAUCUCAUUUGAUCUCAUCACAACCUGAGACACAGGUCAUAAUAGAGACUUCGGGGCUCAUUUUAUACCCGGUGAACCAGCCAACUUUCAUGCAGUUGAGAAAAGUAUAAGAAGCCAGCCCUCGGGAACCACCAGGAGCCAGGAGCACCCCGGCCCCGCAGGGCCCCAAGUUCAGCCUGCCCCAACCCCUCUGGUGCAGAGUUCCUGGGACACCAUCUGCAGCCCCGCCACGCCCCUCAAAGUCAAGGGCACAGGCGGCUGGGGCUUCCCCGCCCGCCCGACGACUUCCUGCUGCCCCAGCAGCCGCCACAGUCACCACCACGGCCCCUGGACGACCCAGAGCUCCUGCUGCCGCCCCCUGACUUCAUGGAGGCGCCCCAGGACUUCGUGCCCCCUCCCCCUGCUGUCGCCAAGAGGCCUCCUAUGCCCCACCCCCACAAGAGGCACGAAGCAUCAAUGUUCAGAUGCCGCAAAUGAAUAAAAUAAAUGAAUAAAAGUUCAACGUUCUUCCUACGGUAUUUCUAGAAAGAUUACUGGGUCAGUCGAUCUGGAUGUCAAUACUAUAAUUG
rnacentral:lncRNA from 1 species